rnacentral:rRNA from 1 species
AGUCGAACGAUGAUGCCCAGCUUGCUGGGUGGAUUAGUGGCGAACGGGUGAGUAACACGUGAGUAACCUGCCCUUGACUCUGGGAUAAGCCUGGGAAACUGGGUCUAAUACCGGAUAUGACCGUCCCGCGCAUGCGGUGGUGGUGGAAAGCUUUUGCGGUUUUGGAUGGACUCGCGGCCUAUCAGCUUGUUGGUGGGGUAAUGGCCUACCAAGGCGAUGACGGGUAGCCGGCCUGAGAGGGUGACCGGCCACACUGGGACUGAGACACGGCCCAGACUCCUACGGGAGGCAGCAGUGGGGAAUAUUGCACAAUGGGCGCAAGCCUGAUGCAGCGACGCCGCGUGAGGGAUGACGGCCUUCGGGUUGUAAACCUCUUUCAGUAGGGAAGAAGCGGAAGUGACGGUACCUGCAGAAGAAGCGCCGGCUAACUACGUGCCAGCAGCCGCGGUAAUACGUAGGGCGCAAGCGUUAUCCGGAAUUAUUGGGCGUAAAGAGCUCGUAGGCGGUUUGUCGCGUCUGCUGUGAAAGACCGGGGCUCAACUCCGGUUCUGCAGUGGGUACGGGCAGACUAGAGUGAUGUAGGGGAGACUGGAAUUCCUGGUGUAGCGGUGAAAUGCGCAGAUAUCAGGAGGAACACCGAUGGCGAAGGCAGGUCUCUGGGCAUUAACUGACGCUGAGGAGCGAAAGCAUGGGGAGCGAACAGGAUUAGAUACCCUGGUAGUCCAUGCCGUAAACGUUGGGCACUAGGUGUGGGGGACAUUCCACGUUUUCCGCGCCGUAGCUAACGCAUUAAGUGCCCCGCCUGGGGAGUACGGCCGCAAGGCUAAAACUCAAAGGAAUUGACGGGGGCCCGCACAAGCGGCGGAGCAUGCGGAUUAAUUCGAUGCAACGCGAAGAACCUUACCAAGGCUUGACAUGGGCUAGUAAAGCGCAGAGAUGCGUUCCCCCCUUUUUGGGGCUGGUUCACAGGUGGUGCAUGGUUGUCGUCAGCUCGUGUCGUGAGAUGUUGGGUUAAGUCCCGCAACGAGCGCAACCCUCGUUCUAUGUUGCCAGC